rnacentral:rRNA from 1 species
GGGGAACUGGCGGCUGCUAUAAUGCAAGUCGAGCGGACAGAAGGGAGCUUGCUCCCGGAUGUUAGCGGCGGACGGGUGAGUAACACGUGGGUAACCUGCCUGUAAGACUGGGAUAACUCCGGGAAACCGGAGCUAAUACCGGAUAGUUCCUUGAACCGCAUGGUUCAAGGAUGAAAGACGGUUUCGGCUGUCACUUACAGAUGGACCCGCGGCGCAUUAGCUAGUUGGUGAGGUAACGGCUCACCAAGGCGACGAUGCGUAGCCGACCUGAGAGGGUGAUCGGCCACACUGGGACUGAGACACGGCCCAGACUCCUACGGGAGGCAGCAGUAGGGAAUCUUCCGCAAUGGACGAAAGUCUGACGGAGCAACGCCGCGUGAGUGAUGAAGGUUUUCGGAUCGUAAAGCUCUGUUGUUAGGGAAGAACAAGUGCAAGAGUAACUGCUUGCACCAUGACGGUACCUAACCAGAAAGCCACGGCUAACUACGUGCCAGCAGCCGCGGUAAUACGUAGGUGGCAAGCGUUGUCCGGAAUUAUUGGGCGUAAAGGGCUCGCAGGCGGUUUCUUAAGUCUGAUGUGAAAGCCCCCGGCUCAACCGGGGAGGGUCAUUGGAAACUGGGAAACUUGAGUGCAGAAGAGGAGAGUGGAAUUCCACGUGUAGCGGUGAAAUGCGUAGAGAUGUGGAGGAACACCAGUGGCGAAGGCGACUCUCUGGUCUGUAACUGACGCUGAGGAGCGAAAGCGUGGGGAGCGAACAGGAUUAGAUACCCUGGUAGUCCACGCCGUAAACGAUGAGUGCUAAGUGUUAGGGGUUUCCGCCCCUUAGUGCUGCAGCUAACGCAUUAAGCACUCCGCCUGGGGAGUACGGUCGCAAGACUGAAACUCAAGGAAUUGACGGGGGCCCGCACAAGCGUUGGAGCAUGUGGUUUAAUUCGAAGCAACGCGAAGAACCUUACCAGGUCUUGACAUCCUCUGACACCCU